GAUGAACGCUGGCGGCGUGCCUAAUACAUGCAAGUCGAGCGAAUGGAUUAAGAGCUCGCUCUUAUGAAGUUAGCGGCGGACGGGUGAGUAACACGUGGGUAACCUGCCCAUAAGACUGGGAUAACUCCGGGAAACCGGGGCUAAUACCGGAUAACAUUUUGAACCGCAUGGUUCGAAAUUGAAAGGCGGCCUCGGCUGUCACUUAUGGAUGGACCCGCGUCGCAUUAGCUAGUUGGUGAGGUAACGGCUCACCAAGGCAACGAUGCGUAGCCGACCUGAGAGGGUGAUCGGCCACACUGGGACUGAGACACGGCCCAGACUCCUACGGGAGGCAGCAGUAGGGAAUCUUCCGCAAUGGACGAAAGUCUGACGGAGCAACGCCGCGUGAGUGAUGAAGGCUUUCGGGUCGUAAAACUCUGUUGUUAGGGAAGAACAAGUGCUAGUUGAAUAAGCUGGCACCUUGACGGUACCUAACCAGAAAGCCACGGCUAACUACGUGCCAGCCGCCGCGGUAA
rnacentral:rRNA from 1 species